rnacentral:tRNA from 1 species
GCCGGUGUGAUGGAAUUGGCAGACGUGACGGACUCAAAAUCCGUUGAUAGCGAUAUCGUGUGGGUUCGACCCCCAUCACCGGCACCA